rnacentral:rRNA from 2 species
GUGGCGAACUGGUGAGUAACACGUGGGAAACCUGCCCAGAAGCGGGGGAUAACACCUGGAAACAGAUGCUAAUACCGCAUAACAACUUGGACCGCAUGGUCCGAGCUUGAAAGAUGGCUUCGGCUAUCACUUUUGGAUGGUCCCGCGGCGUAUUAGCUAGAUGGUGGGGUAACGGCUCACCAUGGCAAUGAUACGUAGCCGACCUGAGAGGGUAAUCGGCCACAUUGGGACUGAGACACGGCCCAAACUCCUACGGGAGGCAGCAGUAGGGAAUCUUCCACAAUGGACGAAAGUCUGAUGGAGCAACGCCGCGUGAGUGAAGAAGGGUUUCGGCUCGUAAAACUCUGUUGUUAAAGAAGAACAUAUCUGAGAGUAACUGUUCAGGUAUUGACGGUAUUUAACCAGAAAGCCACGGCUAACUACGUGCCAGCAGCCGCGGUAAUACGUAGGUGGCAAGCGUUGUCCGGAUUUAUUGGGCGUAAAGCGAGCGCAGGCGGUUUUUUAAGUCUGAUGUGAAAGCCUUCGGCUCAACCGAAGAAGUGCAUCGGAAACUGGGAAACUUGAGUGCAGAAGAGGACAGUGGAACUCCAUGUGUAGCGGUGAAAUGCGUAGAUAUAUGGAAGAACACCAGUGGCGAAGGCGGCUGUCUGGUCUGUAACUGACGCUGAGGCUCGAAAGUAUGGGUAGCAAACAGGAUUAGAUACCCUGGUAGUCCAUACCGUAAACGAUGAAUGCUAAGUGUUGGAGGGUUUCCGCCCUUCAGUGCUGCAGCUAACGCAUUAAGCAUUCCGCCUGGGGAGUACGGCCGCAAGGCUGAAACUCAAAGGAAUUGACGGGGGCCCGCACAAGCGGUGGAGCAUGUGGUUUAAUUCGAAGCUACGCGAAGAACCUUACCAGGUCUUGACAUACUAUGCAAAUCUAAGAGAUUAGACGUUCCCUUCGGGGACAUGGAUACAGGUGGUGCAUGGUUGUCGUCAGCUCGUGUCGUGAGAUGUUGGGUUAAGUCCCGCAACGAGCGCAACCCUUAUUAUCAGUUGCCAGCAUUAAGUUGGGCACUCUGGUGAGACUGCCGGUGACAAACCGGAGGAAGGUGGGGAUGACGUCAAAUCAUCAUGCCCCUUAUGACCUGGGCUACACACGUGCUACAAUGGAUGGUACAACGAGUUGCGAACUCGCGAGAGUAAGCUAAUCUCUUAAAGCCAUUCUCAGUUCGGAUUGUAGGCUGCAACUCGCCUACAUGAAGUCGGAAUCGCUAGUAAUCGCGGAUCAGCAUGCCGCGGUGAAUACGUUCCCGGGCCUUGUACACACCGCCCGUCACACCAUGAGAGUUUGUAACACCCAAAGUCGGUG